rnacentral:lncRNA from 1 species
GUGAGGGGCUGGGCGAAAGGAAGGAGGGGAGGGGAUGGGGGGGGGACGCGCGCCCCAGGAGCGAAAGCAAACUGCUAGCUGCAGAGGCGCUGCCGCAGUUCAGGCUUCCCAACAGGUUAGCUAGCCUAGGAUCCACCCGGUAUUUCGCAGGAAGGGGGGGGGGGCGUUGAGAUAGCUAGAGGAGGGGAAGCCUUCCUGGAGGACAGAGGGAGGGAAAG